UUAAAGGAAUUGACGGGGCCCGCACAAGCGGUGGAGCAUGUGGUUAAUUCGAUGCUACACGAGGAACCUUACCAGGGUUUGACAUACAAGUAGUAGGGAAAGGAAACUGGACCGACCUUCGGGGAGCUUGUACAGGUGCUGCAUGGCUGUCGUCAGCUCGUGUCGUGAGAUGUUCGGUUAAGUCCGCUAACGAGCGCAACCCUCGCUGUGUGUUACAAGUGUCACACGGAACUGCCGGUCAUAAACCGGAGGAAGGUGGGGAUGACGUCAAGUCAGCAUGGCCUUUAUGUCCAGGGCUACACACGUGCUACAAUGGGCGAUACAGAGGGAAGCAAGGCCGCAAGGUAGAGCUAAUCCCUAAAGUCGUCCUCAGUUCGGAUUGCAGGCUGCAACUCGCCUGCAUGAAGUCGGAAUCGCUAGUAAUCGCGGAUCAGCUACGCCGCGGUGAAUACGUUCUCGGGCCUU
rnacentral:rRNA from 1 species